UCCAGACUCCUACGGGAGGCAGCAGUGGGGGAUAUUGCACAAUGGGGGGAACCCUGAUGCAGCGACGCCGCGUGGGUGAAGGAGCGUUUCGGCGCGUAAAGCCCUAUCGGCAGGGAAGAAGGAGGACGGUACCUGACUAAGAAGCCCCGGCUAACUACGUGCCAGCAGCCGCGGUAAUACGUAGGGGGCAAGCGUUAUCCGGAUUUACUGGGUGUAAAGGGGGCGCAGACGGCAGCGCAAGCCAGGAGUGAAAGCCCGGGGCCCAACCCCGGGACUGCUCUUGGAACUGCGCGGCUGGAGUGCAGGAGGGGCAGGCGGAAUUCCUGGUGUAGCGGUGAAAUGCGUAGAUAUCAGGAGGAACACCGGUGGCGAAGGCGGCCUGCUGGACUGCAACUGACGUUGGGGCCCGAAAGCGUGGGGAGCAAACAGGAUUAGAUACCCCGGUA
rnacentral:rRNA from 1 species